rnacentral:rRNA from 1 species
UACAGAGGGUGCAAGCGUUGUUCGGAAUUAUUGGGCGUAAAGGGCGCGUAGGCGGUGCGGUAAGUCUGCAGUGAAAUCUCUGGGCUCAACUCAGAGUCUGCUGUGGAAACUGCCGUGCUUGAGUGUGGGAGAGGUGAGUGGAAUUCCCGGUGUAGCGGUGAAAUGCGUAGAGAUCGGGAGGAACACCAGCGGCGAAGGCGGCAAACUGGAUAGGCACUGACACUCAACAACGAAAGCGUGGGGAGCAAACAGGG